rnacentral:rRNA from 1 species
GACGAACGCUGGCGGCGUGCUUAACACAUGCAAGUCGAACGGGCCUGUCUUCUUUUUUGGGGGUGGGUUGAGUGGCGAACGGGUGAGUAUCACGUGAGUAACCUGCCCUUCGGUCCUGGAUAACCGCUUGAAAGGGCGGCUAAUACGGGGUGGUCCGGUUGGUCCGCAUGGGCUGGUCGGGAUAGAUUCACUGUUUUUGGUGUUUCGGCGGGGGAUGGGCUCGCGGCCUAUCAGCUUGUUGGUGGGGGGAUGGCCUACCAAGGCGGUGACGGGUAGCCGGCCUGAGAGGGUGGGCGGCCACACUGGGACUGAGAUACGGCCCAGACUCCUGCGGGAGGCAGCAGUGGGGGGUAUUGCACAAUGGGCGGAAGCCUGAUGCAGCGACGUCGCGUGAGGGAUGGAGGCCUUCGGGUUGUGAACCUCUGUUUCCGGUGGUGAAGGCCCUGUCCGUGUGGUGGGGUUGACGGUAGCCGGGGAUGAAGCGCCGGCUAACUACGUG